UCACGAGCCCCCUGAGCCGGAGACGUGUUAUUUAUUGGAACUAUCUCUCUCUGAAUAUGUAAUUGAAUGGUAAGCAACUUUAAUUCAAUGUAGGACGAGAUAAAAAUGUAAAGAAAACAUUCUUUUAAGAAAAAAUUUCAAUUAUUCAGCAUUUUAUGACUUUUUAUUACAACAAGCCAUUCUGCAAACAUACACUGUGUUUAUUAUCAUGCAUCAAUCACCAUGUAAGUGGCAAUAAAUCGUUUCUGAUUCUGAUUUUUGAUAUUGAGGCCAAAGUGUAAAAUACUGAAGGAAACAACAAGUUAUGCAAUACAUGAACAUGUCGAAUGACGGAAUAAAGCACCGACUAAAAAGACCUGUGGGGUCAGCAGGGACUUAGCUUGAGUGUCAAUGUCCUUUUUUUCCCUCUCUCCAUUACUCUCAUCUGUGCCUGUCAAUCAAUGAGCAAAGGAGCAGGGUGCAGGGUGCUGGGUGUGGAAGACACUGUUGAAAUCACCAUCAAAACCACCACAUUGACUUCAAUGGUGAGACACAACAGAAGGUUAAAAUCAGCCUAAUUACGGAUCCAGCGUUGUAUUUAAACCUCCGCCUCCGGGACUUCGGGAGCGAGAGUCGGGACAUCUGAACCCAUCACACAAUGUCCUACGAGCGCAUUCUGUCCAUCGAGAGUUUGAGUGACGUUCCGAAUCCAUGGAAAGGAUUCACCAUGAACCGCUGCCUGGUGCUGGCACUGGUGGUCCUGCUCGUGAGCUCCGGGGUCAGUGAAGUGCACGAUGCAAUGGAUUCUUUCGUCGAGGAGACAGGUGUACGCUCUUUCUUUGGGAGUGUGCAGGACGGUUCAAUAUUUCAGAUUUCCAUUUGGGACAAUUUCAUGUGGUGGUGGGGAACCGAAGAACUGGGGGCGAUAAGAAGAAGAAAAAAGCCGAUGGGCGACCGAGUAAUCCUGAAACCCAAACCUAAAGUACCGGUGUAAAAAAACACACAUAACAACAUGUUACUGAAUAAAGAGCACAAACAACA